rnacentral:lncRNA from 1 species
UGGCCUGUAAGGCUGUAUCACGAAUUCAGGAUAGGGUUCAAGACAAUGGAAUGAGAUACCAUCACCUAAGGGUGUAAUGUGGGUCGUGCCGGGCAGGCACGGCCCACAUUAGUCGGACCGAAACGGGCCACGGGGCGGCCCGGCACGGCCUGUUGUCAAAUCCAGGUCGGGCCGUGCCGGGCCAGAGCUAACCAGCUCCCGGCGUGCUGGGCCGGGCGG